rnacentral:rRNA from 1 species
CCCUUAGAUGUUCUGGGCUGCACGCGCGCUACACUGAUGCGUUCAACGAGUUUAUGACCUUGCCCGAUAGGGUUGGGUAAUCUUUUUAAAUCGCAUCGUGAUGGGGAUAGAUUAUUGCAAUUAUUAAUCUUCAACGAGGAAUUCCUAGUAAGCGCGAGUCAUCAGCUUGCAUUGAUUACGUCCCUGCCCUUUGUACACACCGCCCGUCGCACCUACCGAUUGAAUGGUCCGGUGAAAUCUCGGGACGGCGGCUUGGUCGCUUGCGUCCGACUGCUGAAACUUGAUUAAACCAUAUCAUUUAGAGGAAGGUGAAGUCGUANCA